rnacentral:rRNA from 1 species
UACGUAGGGUGCGAGCGUUAAUCGGAAUUACUGGGCGUAAAGCGUGCGCAGGCGGUUGUGCAAGACAGAUGUGAAAUCCCCGGGCUCAACCUGGGAACUGCAUUUGUGACUGCACGGCUGGAGUGCGGCAGAGGGGGAUGGAAUUCCGCGUGUAGCAGUGAAAUGCGUAGAGAUGUGGAGGAACACCGAUGGCGAAGGCAGCCUCCUGGGCCAAUACUGACGCUCAUGCACGAAAGCGUGGGGAGCAAACAGG